GUGAAGCGCCGCAGCAGCCGCGGCGGCGGCGGCUGCUGCGGGAGGUGCCAUUGCAUAGGCAGGAAUCUGAUGCUGCGGAUUCGGUCCCGGUAGAGCGAGCGUCUUAGUCGUAGCUGACGAAGUUGGGGAAGCAGGAGUGGUGGAGGCCACGAAAAAAUUUUGCUAUGUCCUGGUCCGAUGAUUGCCAAGGAAGACCUCUAGCUCUUACUACACAGCCAUUGUCAACUUCUUCAUCUUUUGAGCUACGGAAGGACAUCGUAAGAUCGGUAACAUACAUUUCACUGAUGAGAAGAAAAAGGAUUUUGGAAGACGUGACCUGUAAUAAAAGUAAUAUAAUGAAAACCAUGAAAAUGCACAUAUACAUUGAAGUGAAUGAUCGAAGGCAUUUUGAUAACACUCCAAACAACAAAAAAGGAAUAAAACAAUGAUUAACCUUAGAAAUCAAUGACGCUUAUGCAUCGAUUAUAACCAUGAUUCGCAUUGAUCCAAAAUACGAUUAUAACAUUCGACAUACGAGGAUUUAAAUUCGUUAAAAUUUAUCCAAUAUAUUCGUUUGACUUAAAAGAUAGAUCAUCGAUAAAUUUUAAUAUGCGUAAGAGAAGUUUUUAUUGGGCAUGUAUGAUUAAAACCGGAAAAAUGAAUUCUCCCGCGAAAAAUGUAACUAUCGUUCCGGUGUCACCAACUGCCUACCAUCUGCGUUUUCUUUGUAAUCCUACACCGACAAGUUUGUCUCCGAUUUCUCAAGCUUGAGCAAAAUGCUCAUUUUCGAUUUGCCUACUCGGUGCAACGUGUCAGCAGUCUUUCGAAGUCUUUUCAUAUCUCAUGAAUCGAAACUUUUCUUCCAUCGUAAUUCGUACCCCUCCAUAAAAUAUUUCUUCAAACCGGAAGUACAAUACAACGAAGAGAGAAAGAAAAUUUUCUUCGCGAUCCGAUGUUUACGGAUGACACAAUACAGAAUUCCACGAAAGGUACAACAAGCGUCAAACAUUUGCAAAAUAAAUGCGUGCGAUCGUGCCUUGAAACAACUAAUAGGCAGCCGUUGCUUAUUACACACGCACGCACUUGUCACAGUGGCACGUGACAUGUACUUACAAGAUUGAAAAUUAAAGUCAGUUUGAGUUGAGCACCAUUGUGAUAAGGAGUAUAUUAUGACCGUCACUGCUUAUAGCAUUACACAGCUUGACCCGCGCACUCGUAAACCGUGAACACACAUAAGGGUCCAAAUGUAUGGAUUUGAACGUAUACGCUACUCUGUCGCCCGGUUCGUGCUAUCUUUUUAUUCUCUCUUUCUGUCCGUUUCACGUUUGCUCUUACUGGCAUUUCUUCGUUUGCGUACAACGCAACCGAAGCUAUGUAAGUAAAAUUUGAAACGAAACGAUUUCGAAUAAUAUUAUGCAGUGACCGCCAUAUCUACAGUAUGAAUAUACAAAAAAUGCAACUUUCAUACAGCUUUCAUUUCACUUAUACAAUGUGAACUGUUUAUAAAAGUUAUUAAAUACGUUUGUUUUUCGA